CUUUCCACAAGUUGCAAGGUGGGUGAGGAGGAAGCACAGAAGUUGUGUGGGGUAGAAAAAGCCUGGGGAAAAUGGUGCCUUUAGGCCACCCAUCACGUGCCUCAAGUUCCAAAGAAUGUGAACAGCAGGAAAAGAGAUUUGCCCUCUCCCCACUGUCAUACAUGUGACAGUAGAAAGCUGAAGAUUUGAGCCAGAAACUGGCUAUCAAGAUUGAUUCAGGUUGAUUCCCAGGGUUCUGUUUUAUUUCCACCCAGGAAACACCAGCAUUCUUGAAUCCUUUCAGCAUUAGGCAAAGGAGCAGAUGUGGGCAUUCUGCAUCUCAAGGAGGUCUUUAGCAACACC
rnacentral:lncRNA from 1 species